rnacentral:tRNA from 1 species
GGCCCCAUCGUCUAGCGGUAAGGACUCCGCCCUUUCACGGCGGCAGCAGGGGUUCGAGUCCCCUUGGGGUCA